CCUGCACACACACACACAUGCACGCAUGCACACACACACACACAGAAGCCCAGUUCCCUCUAGCUCCAGCACAGACUCUUAUCUCCAGCCCUGACUGCCGAAACCCUCCAGCCCCAGCUCCAGCCCCUCAGGAGGGGACUGCGUGGGAGGAAUGACUCCAGCAAGCCGGCAGCUGACCCGUCUCCUGCCUGCACGCCUCCCGCUGUGGUCCACUGCCGGUGGUCUUCAGCUCUCUCCUCGUCCCACCCCCAUGGUCUGCUGACAGCCCAGCUCAGUGCAUCCCUGCCAUCUCUGCUCUACCGCUGGUCCUCCCAACAACCAACUUACAGGGUUUCACUCCCGUCACCCAGACUGGAGUACAAUGGUGCGAUCUCAGCUCACUGCAACCUCU
rnacentral:lncRNA from 1 species